AGCCUGAGAAACGGCUACCACAUCCAAGGAAGGCAGCAGGCGCGCAAAUUACCCAAUCCCGACACGGGGAGGUAGUGACAAUAAAUAACAAUACGGGGCUCAUUUGGGUCUCGUAAUUGGAAUGAGUACAAUUUAAAUCUCUUAACGAGGAACAAUUGGAGGGCAAGUCUGGUGCCAGCAGCCGCGGUAAUUCCAGCUCCAAUAGCGUAUAUUAAAGUUGUUGCAGUUAAAAAGCUCGUAGUUGAACUUCGGGGUUCACCCAUUGGUCAGGCUUAAUUGUCUGUACUGGUGAGAUGAGUCUCUACCUUCUGAGGAACUUUCAUGCCAUUUAUUUGGUGUGAUUGGAAAUCAGGACUGUUACUUUGAAAAAAUUAGAGUGUUUAAAGCAGACUAACGUCUGAAUACAUUAGCAUGGAAUAAUGAAAUAGGACGGAUUGAUUCUAUUUCGUUGGUUUCUAGGAUCACCGUAAUGAUUAAUAGGGAUAGUUGGGGGCAUUAGUAUUCAAUUGUCAGAGGUGAAAUUCUUGGAUUUAUUGAAGACUAACUACUGCGAAAGCAUUUGCCAAGGAUGUUUUCAUUAAUCAAGAACGAAAGUUAGGGGAUCGAAGACGAUCAGAUACCGUCGUAGUCUUAACCAUAAACUAUGCCGACUAGGGAUCGGACGCAGUUAAUUUUAUAAUGACGUGUUCGGCA
rnacentral:rRNA from 1 species